UGAAACCAUUGUUCAUUUACCUACUCUUCAUUUUGGGCUUCCGUACUGAUACCUUACAGCAUUCUCAAAAGGUUUGAUUCUCUGGUACCUACGAGUGUAACCUAGCUCAAUUUUGGACUUGGAUCCCUGAUCCUUGAGCACAGUUUGAAAAGGGUCACAAAUACGCCCCGUAUUUCUGAACUUCUCAGCAAUUAAUACUUGUUUUCCAACAGCAAGGACGGGGUUGGAGCAUGAUCUGAAGCCUAAUUAUGGAACUUCUUGUGUGAAUAAAGAUAGUGAACUGGUAAACCUUGAAGCACAGGAAGAGAAAAUUAGAGAAUGGCAUGCUAUGUUCACUACACAAGUUACUCAGAAGGCCAAAAAGUAUCAUGAUGGGUUCUUACAACUCUCAAUUUGUGUUUCCCAGAGGAAGCAGAUGUCUUGUCGUCAUGUUUUGUAUUUUCUGAGUUUUACGGGGAUAGCAGAUGGCUCGUUACCUUAUUACUCUUGACAAAAAUAUAAAUAGUGUUGUCGUACAUUGCUAAAAAGAGUUAUGGUGUAAGAUGAAUUGUAUACCAAGUUAUCUAGUUAAAAAGUGAGGAGGUGGAAUCACCAAUUUAGUUCUUUAGAAAUGUAUGAUCUGUGUUGCCUGUUGGAAACGAUUAAUAAAAAAAAUAACUUUUUAAAGUUUUAA